AUUGAACGCUGGCGGCAUGCCUUACACAUGCAAGUCGAACGGCAGCGCGGACUUCGGUCUGGCGGCGAGUGGCGAACGGGUGAGUAAUACAUCGGAACGUACCCUGUUGUGGGGGAUAACUAGUCGAAAGAUUAGCUAAUACCGCAUACGACCUGAGGGUGAAAGUGGGGGACCGGAAACGGCCUCCUGCAGCAGGAGCGGCCGAUGUCUGAUUAGCUAGUUGGGGGGGUAAAGGCCCACCAAGGCGACGAUCAGUAGCUGGUCUGAGAGGACGAUCAGCCACACUGGAACUGAGACACGGCCCAGACUCCUACGGGAGGCAGCAGUGGGGAAUUUUGGACAAUGGGGGCAACCCUGAUCCAGCAAUGCCGCGUGUGUGAAGAAGGCCUUCGGGUUGUAAAGCACUUUUGUCCGGAAAGAAAUCGCGCUGGUUAAUACCUGGCGUGGAUGACGGUACCGGAAGAAUAAGCACCGGCUAACUACGUG
rnacentral:rRNA from 1 species